rnacentral:rRNA from 1 species
GGAUGAACGCUAGCUACAGGCUUAACACAUGCAAGUCGAGGGGCAGCAUGGUCUUAGCUUGCUAAGGCCGAUGGCGACCGGCGCACGGGUGAGUAACACGUAUCCAACCUGCCGUCUACUCUUGGACAGCCUUCUGAAAGGAAGAUUAAUACAAGAUGGCAUCAUGAGUCCGCAUGUUCACAUGAUUAAAGGUAUUCCGGUAGACGAUGGGGAUGCGUUCCAUUAGAUAGUAGGCGGGGUAACGGCCCACCUAGUCUUCGAUGGAUAGGGGUUCUGAGAGGAAGGUCCCCCACAUUGGAACUGAGACACGGUCCAAACUCCUACGGGUGGCAGCAGUGAGGAAUAUUGGUCAAUGGGCGAGAGCCUGAACCAGCCAAGUAGCGUGAAGGAUGACUGCCCUAUGGGUUGUAAACUUCUUUUAUAAAGGAAUAAAGUCGGGUAUGGAUACCCGUUUGCAUGUACUUUAUGAAUAAGGAUCGGCUAACUCCGUGCCAGCAGCCGCGGUAAUACGGAGGAUCCGAGCGUUAUCCGGAUUUAUUGGGUUUAAAGGGAGCGUAGAUGGAUGUUUAAGUCAGUUGUGAAAGUUUGCGGCUCAACCGUAAAAUUGCAGUUGAUACUGGAUAUCUUGAGUGCAGUUGAGGCAGGCGGAAUUCGUGGUGUAGCGGUGAAAUGCUUAGAUAUCACGAAGAACUCCGAUUGCGAAGGCAGCCUGCUAAGCUGCAACUGACAUUGAGGCUCGAAAGUGUGGGUAUCAAACAGGAUUAGAUACCCUGGUAGUCCACACGGUAAACGAUGAAUACUCGCUGUUUGCGAUAUACUGCAAGCGGCCAAGCGAAAGCGUUAAGUAUUCCACCUGGGGAGUACGCCGGCAACGGUGAAACUCAAAGGAAUUGACGGGGGCCCGCACAAGCGGAGGAACAUGUGGUUUAAUUCGAUGAUACGCGAGGAACCUUACCCGGGCUUAAAUUGCAGAUGAAUUACGGUGAAAGCCGUAAGCCGCAAGGCAUCUGUGAAGGUGCUGCAUGGUUGUCGUCAGCUCGUGCCGUGAGGUGUCGGCUUAAGUGCCAUAACGAGCGCAACCCUUGUUGUCAGUUACUAACAGGUUCCGCUGAGGACUCUGACAAGACUGCCAUCGUAAGAUGUGAGGAAGGUGGGGAUGACGUCAAAUCAGCACGGCCCUUACGUCCGGGGCUACACACGUGUUACAAUGGGGGGUACAGAGGGUCGCUACCACGCGAGUGGAUGCCAAUCCCCAAAACCUCUCUCAGUUCGGACUGGAGUCUGCAACCCGACUCCACGAAGCUGGAUUCGCUAGUAAUCGCGCAUCAGCCACGGCGCGGUGAAUACGUUCCCGGGCCUUGUACACACCGCCCGUCAAGCCAUGGGAGCCGGGGGUACCUGAAGUGCGUAACCGCGAGGAGCGCCCUAGGGUAAAACUGGU